CUAGUGGUUGUGGGGCGGCUAUUUAUAGCCUGGGAGCAACCCAACAUGAUUUGACAUAAAUGCCCUUUAAUAAUAUGACCGUUGGGUGGAUAAGAUCUCUGACAAGUGGCGCAUGGCGUGACAACGGUCGGAACUUUCAACUGUGAAAGUCCUCAUGUCUCUCAUAUUCCUUACUUUGAGGCUCUGAUAGAUGUAGGUUUGGGUUGAGCAUCAUAAGGAAAUCCGUUUCAUAGUUUUACCUCGACCCCCUUUAACUGUACGGUGUUCCUAUGAAUCAAGUGUAAAGAAAAUGAAACAGAAAGGGUAAAUCUUCAAGCUUCAAAGUUUUUCUUCUGGACACACUGACUUCCUCAUCUUGAAUAUGUUCAUGAGGAAUAUCAAUUUCUUCACAAUUUUUUGCGAUCAAAGUCUUCAAGGAAUGACCAAAGUCUUCGCCCGAAGACAUACAUUUUUUAGGAGUCGAUUUUCAAUGCAUAACUCAAACUUCUUAGGGACUUAUAGAGCCUGUGUACACU
rnacentral:lncRNA from 1 species